rnacentral:rRNA from 1 species
AACGAACGCUGGCGGCAGGCUUAACACAUGCAAGUCGAACGCGCCGUGCGGGUUGAGUGGCAGGCGGGGGAGUAACGCGGUGGAAUCUACCCUUCUCUACGGGAUAGACCCGGGAAACUGGAAUUAAUACCGUAGACGGCCGGGGGGAGAAAGAUUGAUCGGGGAAGGAUGAGCCCGCGUUUGAUUAGCUAGUUGGUGGGGUAAAGGCCUACCAAGGCGACGAGCCAUAGAUGGUCUAAGAGGAUGAUCAGCCACAUUGGGACUGAGACACGGCCCAAACCCCUACGGGAGGCAGCAGUGGGGAAUAUUGGAAAAUGCGCGCGAGCCUGAUCCAGCCAUGCCGCGUGAGUGAUGAAGGCCCUAGGGUUGUACAGCUCUUUCAGUGGGGACGAUAAUGACGGUACCCACAGAAGAAGCCCCGGCUAACUUCGUG